rnacentral:rRNA from 1 species
UACGAAGGGGACUAGCGUUGUUCGGAAUCACUGGGCGUAAAGCGCACGUAGGCGGAUUUGUAAGUCAGGGGUGAAAUCCCGGGGCUCAACCUCGGAACUGCCUUUGAUACUGCGAAUCUUGAGUCCGAUAGAGGUGGGUGGAAUUCCUAGUGUAGAGGUGAAAAUUCGUAGAUAUUAGGAAGAACACCAGUGGCGAAGGCGGCCCACUGGAUCGGUACUGACGCUGAGGUGCGAAAGCGUGGGGAGCAAACAGGG